rnacentral:rRNA from 1 species
AACGAACGCUGGCGGCAUGCCUAACACAUGCAAGUCGAACGAUGCUUUCGGGCAUAGUGGCGCACGGGUGCGUAACGCGUGGGAAUCUGCCCUUGGGUUCGGAAUAACAGUGAGAAAUUGCUGCUAAUACCGGAUGAUGUCUUCGGACCAAAGAUUUAUCGCCCAGGGAUGAGCCCGCGUAGGAUUAGCUAGUUGGUGGGGUAAUGGCCUACCAAGGCGACGAUCCUUAGCUGGUCUGAGAGGAUGAUCAGCCACACUGGGACUGAGACACGGCCCAGACUCCUACGGGAGGCAGCAGUGGGGAAUAUUGGACACUGGACGCAAGCCUGAUCCAGCAAUGCCGCGUGAGUGAUGCAGGCCUUAGGGUUGUAAAGCUCUUUUACCCGGGAUGAUAAUGACGGUACCGGGAGAAUAAGCUCCGGCUAACUCCGUG